rnacentral:lncRNA from 10 species
GUGGUUCUGUGAUGCUGUGAGAGGGGGAAAGAAGGAAAAAGGGAGUGGGGAAGGAGAGUGGCACACAAAACCUAGAAGGUCCCACCCCAACCAUCACCUACCUGUGACUGGAAAGCCAGACUCAGCCCAGCCCCCUCCUUUAGGCUGGGUCUGAACAAUCGCAGGAGGGGAGGGAGACGGGGAGGGAGGGGUCCGGGUGAUGUUGAGAAGGAGGCAUCACUGAGGGUGCCAGUGAGAAAGUCAGCUGGGGGUUGCGGUCCCGGGAAGGGUCCGGGUUCAAUGCGGAGGAGAGGCAUUCAAGAAACAGGAGCUAUCAACCAAAGCUGGUCAGGCCAACCAAAAGACCCCUCACCCACGAUGCUUGCCCGCCCCUGAGCCAGACAGGAUCUGGGGAAUGAACUGAGUCACACAAGGCCCCCUGCCUCGCAUCCCCAACCCUCAGGACGGCAGGGUCAGUUUCUUCAUUUUUUUAGCAAUGCAACUGAGGCCGAGAAGCAAAGGGAUUUGCUGAGGGUCACACAGC